AAUUCCAUCUCACAUAUUGUCAUUUCAAAUUAUUUACUUGCCCUAAUUUUCUCUCUCCUAGUCUAUUCUAUUCACGAUGCUGCUCCAUUUUCUCCUCCUCCAUUGAAGCAGCUCCAUUUUCUCUCUCCUUCAUUGAAGCGGCGCGUGUGAGCUUCCAUCAUUGAACCGGUUUGUGAGCUUUUAUCCUCCAUUGAAUUAGCUUUUGAGGAAACGCCUGCUGCAUCUGCAUAUCAAAACAAAUGCAUCGAGAAUUGGGAUGACAUUUGUACCUUGUUUGCACCUGAUAGAGCAAUAGGAGAUGGUGCUGAGCAACAUGAAGAAGCUGCUGCAGCAAUGGAGAAUGAAAAUGAUAAUGCAAGUACAUCAGAAACGGCUUCCGGAGAUUCAAAUAAAAGGUUAAAAAGGGAUCGUCUUGCAGAUGCUGUGAGUAGCUUUGCUGAAUCUUUCAAGGAGUACGUGAGUAAAUCAACAAGGCCAACUAGUCAAGAAAUCUACAAGGAAGUGUGUAGUGUACUUGGAAUAUCUCGACACCAAGCUUUGAGGGCGGUUAAGAGAUUCUUAAAUGGCACAUUCGAGGAAUUUGACAUGCUGAAAAAUUUACCCGAUGAUCAAAAAUUAGAUUGGAUCAUUUUGUGUAAUGAUGAGUAGUAGUGUUGUAAGUUAAGAGAUAAUUAGAGUUAAGUUGGAACUUAGGUAUUGAAAUUUAGAAUUUGGAAUUCCAUUGUUUCCCAAACAACAACUAGAAUUUGAAAUUCUAGAAUUGAAAUUCUCUUGUUUCCCAAACAAGUAUUUGAAUUUGAAAUCCUAAAUUUGAAAUUAUCAUAUUUCCC